AAAAUUCAUUUGAAGUUUGUAUCAUGAUGUAAGUUUGAGGAUCAAGACUUUCCAUUUUUGGUAAGUUUCAGUUACAGGUCCAGUUUCCAUUUUUGGAAAUUCCUGAUCUGGCUUCAAAUUCCUCCAUGAUGGUGUUUUGACAUGAUAUAUGAAGACUAUAUGGACAUGAAUGAGACCUCUCAAACCAAAUCCCAUCAUCAAAUCACUGAUUAAAU
rnacentral:lncRNA from 1 species